CUGACUACCAGGGGGAAAGAAUCUCUUUUGGAGAUCCCUCCUUUGGAGUUUUACAGUGAGCCUAGGACGAGGGACAUUGGCUUGGUUGUAGGAUUUAUUUAUCUGGCCAGACAUUCUUGCCACCUUACCCAGAACUCCACACAUGUAAAAAGUUGUUUUAAAAGGAAGUCAGUCCAUGUCCCUGGAGAUGUUUCCCUUCACCUUUGUUAAUCACAUGCAAAGGACUGGAGUUAGACAAGCAGAUAGCUGAUCUUUGCUGGCCACAAGCUAUUGCUUCAGACUGAAAGUGCAUAUUAUUGGAGACCUAAGGAGAAAAAAGUGCUGCCUGACUCGGUGACAAAAGCAUGACAGGACAAGGCUGUCUGCUGAUAUUUAAAGCUCAGAAGUGGAGAGAUGGGCUUCAUCCAGAACGAGCGAGAAACUGUAAAUAGAAAAAUGGCACACUUUUAAAGAGGUGCUGUGUUUGACAAUUCUUAGCCUCUGGAAGAUGUUUUUUUUUUUUUUUUUUUUAAGGCAAUCUGUUCCUCUCCUUAAUUAGCUGUGAAUUUUCACCAGUGAUGAAAAGAGCCUGCAUGCC